AUUCAGAUAAGAAUAUCAUUAUAUUCCUUUCCUCAUGGGGACCUGGUGCACAAUGGCUGCAAGCAGCAGCUUCCUUGGUAGUGUAUGCAGCCUGUUUCUUAUAUAGGUUGCUCUAAGAGACCUUGAAGACAGCC
rnacentral:snoRNA from 1 species